AAAUUGGGUUCCAAGUCUUCCCAAACGGGAGCAGAUUAUAAUGAUACAUGGAGGGAGGUGCCCAGUGGUACCAGACAGCUCAAGAAGUUUCAGGGCUGAGUGGCAGUGAGGAUGAUGAGCCGUGGACAUGUUCCGUGACAUAAGAUGAGCACCGCCUGGUGACUGAUCAGAACUGAAACAGUUCGUUGUUGACAAGCACUGGCCACGCAAUGGGCAUGAAGACAAGGGAGAGGAGGUAUGAAGAACUAAGGACAACUCUGCAUUCAAUUUGCCACAUGCAUUAACUUAUGCAAGUCAGUGCCUGCAUGGAGGAGAAAGGGUGUCCGCACUCCAGUCCCCUAUUACGCAUAUCUGGGUCAUCUGUUGCAAAUUUCCGGAAGAUUGACUGUUGACCGUAAGAGUUACUUACGUCCUUUCUAAGGAUUGAAAAAUUAAGUUUCCAGCUACUUGAAUGCAGCGUCCCUGUCUCACCUCCACCAUCAUCUCCGAGAACCCCACCCUGCAGAGAUCUCAUUUGGAAUAGUGUGAGUUGAGAGCGGUCUACCACUCAAAAGUUCGCUUUGAUAAUAAAGCUGUCACCUUAUUUGCGAGUUGAUGUCUUAAAGUUGCAAGUUCCAUUUCCACAGCCCAGCCAUAAACAAAUAUAUCGGUUUUAAAUGGAUUCUUCACACUCUGGCAGCUUGAUCACCACUUUCCAUACCCACAAUUGAUAGAAAAAGAUGAAAGAUAAGGGAACAAAGGGUGAAAAUGUAACAGCUAGAGAGAGCGCUCCAGGGUGGUUAAAAAGCUGCCUAGUGGCUACAGGAAGACACUCAGGCAGCAGCCCCGACACCAGGGUCAUGCCAGAGGGGACCCUCCAGGGCUGCCAAGCUCCUGAGGCUCUUACUCAUGCUUGAAGGUGAGCCUUUCGAAGAGCUACUUGCCCAAACCAGCCUGCAGAGGUGAGUCAGAUGGUCGCCAUCUCCUUGAUGAGUUUCACUUCCUCAUCCAGAAAGCACUUCUCCCAGAAGCUACAGAACCCGGGGCAUGCAGCUCCCAAAGCGCCUGUUUCAGGUUCUCUAGGAUCAUGGUAACUUUCUUCACCUCAAGGUUUUACCCCACUCAUCUUGAAACAGCUUCUGCAAGUCCUCGAAGAGGGCACUGGUUUCUUCAAAAGAUGCCGGGUGCCCUUAAGGUUCUCCUCAGCCAACUCUUGGAAUGAGUGUCCCAUGCCCUCCAGAGCCACAUCCUCAAGGUGAAAAGAGAAGCCCAGAGAAAGAGGAAUUCCAGCAUUUUACAUCUGAAAGGGAGCUGAGACAUCACCAUCUCCAGCAUCAGUGACUUUAAAAGAAGAAACGGAGACCAGACACAAAAAGAGUAAUACAAGUAACUGACUCAUAACAUCAUUGUGAGUAUCAAAUAAAUUAAUGGCUAAGUGAAGAAAAUUCUAAGUAGAAUAUGCCUGGGGCUCCAUUACUUCUCACUUCUAUAUCAGUCAGACUCCUAGGUUGCAAUAGAAAUAAUCUUGCUGACUUGAGUAAAAUAAAAUUUAUGAGGGGACCAGGAAUACUGCAAAAACAGGCUUCAAAAACAAGUCCACAACAAGCAACCUCUGGAGGGCCAGCCAUCAGGAACCAGAACAGUUCUUCCAGCAGGAACAGGUCCAUUCAUGGAUCCCCAGGCCACUACGGCUGCUGAGGUGAUGAUUUCCUCCAAAUGCCACCACACCACACCCUACAGCCCUUACUCAAAUUCCAAGUGCUACAGGAGACUGCUCAAUUGCCUGCCCCUGAACUUUCCAGAAUGACAAGAAAGAGAAUUUGGACCCAUUUGCUUUCUGGUUCCCAAGAAUGCACACAGUGGCACAUUUCUAAGAGGAUAAAAAGUUUUGAUAGUCAUGGCACCUUGCCAUGGUUGGCUGCUGAACAAUAAAAAAAAAAGGAUGAUA